AGCUACUUUGUGACACAGAGGAAGUUAAUGAUGAUUACCAGUAAGGCUCGGGAGAUUCGUCGACAUAGUCGACGUAAUCGAUUACGUAAAUGUGUCGAUUUAAGCAACGUUCGUCGACGCAUCGGAUGAAGAAUUGAUAGUGGCUGCGCCCUGUCCAAGCAUCGAUUUUGAUUCCCCCAGACAGGAAGAAGCAUCAAAAAAACUCGCCCACGUUCAUCAAAAAAGUGUGGGAAUAUUUCAAACAGAGACCCAACAAUGUGGUGCUCUGUAAGUUGUGCAAAAUGGAGAUGGCGUACCACAGCAGUACAAGUGCAAUGCACGAGCACCUGAAAAGAUGGCAUCCCGGAGCGCUGAGUGAAGAAGACUGCAGCAAGACACCACCGAUGAGACAAAGCCGUGUGGAGGACUUGGAUUACUAAAUGUACAUUGCACUGUAUUCCUUUUACUUGAAUUUAACAAGCUCUUGCUUUCAUUUUAUUUUGGAGAAAUAUUAUGUUGGAC